GGUUGUUGCUGGCUCCUCGGAGCAUGUGCACGCCUGACACAUUUUUACCACCUGUGCACCCUUUGUAGACCUGGAAUACCUCUCGAGGCAACUCGGUUUGAGGACUGCCGCUGCUGAAAAGCCGGCUUUCCUUGCGUUCCCGGUCUAUGUCUUUAUACACCCCAAGAAUGUAACUGAAUGUCUUUUAAUGGGCCUUAGUGCCUUUAAAUCAAAUACAACUUUCAACAACGGAUCUCUUGGCUCUCGCAUCGAUGAAGAACGCAGCGAAAUGCGAUAAGUAAUGUGAAUUGCAGAAUUCAGUGAAUCAUCGAAUCUUUGAACGCACCUUGCGCUCCUUGGUAUUCCGAGGAGCAUGCCUGUUUGAGUGUCAUUAAAUUCUCAACCUUUUCAGCUUUUACAAGUUGAUNAGGCUUGGAUGUGGGGGUUGCGGGCUUCUCAGAAGUCGGCUCUCCUUAAAUGCAUUAGCGGAACCUUUGUUGACCAGCUCUGGUGUGAUAAUUAUCUACGCCAUUGUGAAGCAGCUUUAAUAAUGGGGUUCAGCUUCUAAUCGUCCCUCACGGGACAACUCUUGACAUUUUGACCUCAAAUCAGGUAGGACUACCCGCUGAACUUAAGCAUAUCAAUAAGCGGAGGAAAAGAAACUAACAAGGAUUCCCCUAGUAACUGCGAGUGAAGCGGGAAAAGCUCAAAUUUAAAAUCUGGUGGUCCUUGCGGCUGCCCGAGUUGUAAUCUAGAGAAGCGUUAUCCGCGCUGGACCGUGU
rnacentral:rRNA from 1 species